rnacentral:rRNA from 1 species
GAUGGACGCUAGCUACAGGCUUAACACAUGCAAGUCGAGGGGAAACGACAUCGAAAGCUUGCUUUUGAUGGGCGUCGACCGGCGCACGGGUGAGUAACGCGUAUCCAACCUGCCCAUCACUUGGGAAUAACCUUGCGAAAGUAAGACUAAUACCCAAUGAUAUCCCACGAAGGCAUCGGAAUGGGAUUAAAGAUUUAUCGGUGACGGAUGGGGAUGCGUCUGAUUAGCUUGUUGGCGGGGUAACGGCCCACCAAGGCAACGAUCAGUAGGGGUUCUGAGAGGAAGGUCCCCCACAUUGGAACUGAGACACGGUCCAAACUCCUACGGGAGGCAGCAGUGAGGAAUAUUGGUCAAUGGGCGAGAGCCUGAACCAGCCAAGUAGCGUGCAGGAAGACGGCCCUAUGGGUUGUAAACUGCUUUUAUAAGGGAAUAAAGUGGGUCACGUGUGACUUUUUGCAUGUACCUUAUGAAUAAGGACCGGCUAAUUCCGUG